rnacentral:lncRNA from 1 species
UUUUUUUUCUUUUUUAAGGGCAGGAACAGGUGUUGGAGAUGAUGUUGAGAUCGGAACGCUCAUACACGGGGUGGGAAUUGGGGGUGGGGGGCCCACUUGGGAAAGCAGCCUGGCUGUUCUUCAGAAAGUUCAACAGUUUCCCUAUGACCCAUGCAGCAAAUUUCAUGGCAGGUGAAUUAUACCACAAUAAAAUAGAUUCUGGUAUAUGAUCUCACAGGUUUUGUGAAGGGCAAUGAGGAGCUCGAUGCAAAGCCUCCUAGGAACUGCAGAGAGGUAACCCCUCUCACGGUCACCCAGAGAGGGCUCUGCAGAGCAGGACCUGAGAGAGAAGGCCCCGCAGGGCUGUGGACAGAGGUGGCAUGAGCUGAGGAGGCGUGUGUGAGCCCAGCUCCACACACAAGGCCAGGGGCUAAACGGGAGCUCCUUACACCCCCGGCAAUCACGUUCAAGCGUCAACAAGAAGGAAGAAGGGGCUUUUAUACAAAUGCCCUCCAAGUCCUUCCAUCACCACAAAUCACUCCAAAAAGUCGGAUCAGAGAGGAGCAGUCCGGCUUGGAGUUGGCCUGGCGCCUGGGAGGUGACAGAGCAGCUCAAGACAACAGAAGACAAGCAGGACCCCAUGGAUGGUCAGGGGUCAGGUCCUCAGAUGAGGCCUCCAACAGGCACCCCGGGAGCUCUGGGCUGCACAGCUCCCCCACCCCAGGCUCACCAACCCUGUCCUGCCCCAUCUUAAGCAAACACUGCCCCGUCCAGCCCUCCCUGGGGGCCGUGAGCUCUUCAGGACAGAAGAAGAGCCACGGGCCCCUCCCCUGCUGCACAGAGCCAGAGGCUGGGCCACGAGGGCAGGCCUGGAGCCCUGUUCUCUACAGACUGUGCUCCGUCGAGUUGGUCAGGAGGUUCGCUCUGGCUCAUUAAUCAUGAGUCCGGCCAUGGCAGCUGCCCCCUUUUAUGGCCAAAUGGCCCAGGAAGUUUAAUAAUAGAGAGAAGGACGGACAUUUCCACGAUCAGACCCUUCCAGCCCCAGUCCCCAUCGCGGGCACGGGCAGACAAGUGGAAAGCUGGCUCACAGCAUCUAUGCCACCGGUGCCUUGGCCAGCGGAGUGGUCGAUCAAGGCUCGUGAAGACUGGGACGCGAAGUCAGCCCACUUCUAACCGCUGGCUCAGCAUCUUGAAGGGCCACGGCAGCCACGGCGCGGCGUACCCCAAGUGCCGGCCCUCAGCCAGCAGGCCCCCAUCUCUUCCCAAAGGCCCUGGGCAGUGGGUACCGUGAGGACUCCGUCUGCUACAGGGAGGCUCGGAGCAGUCAGAGCCAGUCCCCACAAAGGCCACGCUGUCGACGCACAGGCCGGACCUGGUCCACGGUGCCAUGUCCCCUGCCUGUUCUGGGAGACAAUGGCCUGGAAGCCGCGCGUGGGCCUCUUGAUGGGGGGGGGGGGGGGGCGGAUCACAGAGGUGCAGAAAGAUAAUGACAAUGGGGGGGGGUAAGCACCAUGGGUUGCAGGUGUAAGGUACAAACAGAAGCAGCAGGCAAACACUCUGGAACAUCGGGGAAGGCUUCCCGGAAGUGACCUCUGAACUGGUGGGUGGGGAGCGCCAAGGACUCCCAGCAAAAGAGAAGGGAGGGUGCGAGGUGUCACGGCCAGGCAGGGGACAGGGAUUCGUGAGGUGAGGCUGGGGUGCGAGGACCCAGGAAGGCCUGAGACAGGACCAGACCAGGACACAGCCUUCACUGCCCUCAAAUUGUUGGAUAUUCUUGGAGUUCCCAUCGUGAUGCAGCAGAAAGGACUCCAACUAGUAACCAUGAGCUGGCAGGUUCAAUCCCUUGCCUUGCUCAGUGGGUUAAAAUCUGGCAUUGCCGUGAGCUGUGGUGUAAGCGGCAGACGCGGUCGGAUCCUGCAUUGCUGCGGCUGUGCUGUAGGCCAGCAGCUGUAGCUCUGAUUAGAUCCCUAGCCUGGGAACCUCCGUACGCCGAGGGUGCGGCCCUAAAAAGAAAAAAGAAAAAAAAAUAGUCUUGGAUAUUCUCUCUCGCUCCCUUCCCAUCUUUUUCAAAAUUAAGGUAUACCAUGUAAAGAGUCAAGUGCAAGAGCACACAAGCCUGAGGCCUCUGCAGAAGCACAGCCCCAUGGGACCCCACCCAGGUCAAGACAGGGACCAUAUGCAACACCCCAGGAGGCAGGCUCCCUCACAUCCUGUCCCAGUCAAGACCGCCCAGUGUCUGCUCUUCUAGCUCCAUCACCAGAGAUGCGGUCUCGGACAUCCUACAGAUGGAAGCAGGCAAUAGAUGCGCUAUUGGGUCUGGAUGCUUCUGUUCAGCGCCACGACUGCAAGAUGCAUGUGUCUGUAGCUCACUUCUAACUGCAGGCAGCGCUUGUUCCUGAGCUACCGCUGUCAGUGCAUCUUUGCUUUUUUCCAGAUCGGGGCCACUGUGUAUAAAGCUGCUGUGAACAUUUCUGCACCUCUUCGGGUAAAUACGAUUUCUGGGCCACAGGGUAAAGUGCUUUUAUUUAAGUCCAGGAACUUCUAAUUGUGGGGAUUUCCAUGGAAGUCUGACAUAAACAAGAGCUCUGUUGUAGGCCCUGCUCUUCUCAGGUACCCUCCACCUUUGGAAGAACGGGAUUCUGAGUCUUGGGGGUGGAAUCGGGCAGUGACAAGGCUCAAAGGGUGAACUGUGCCUUUCACAUGGCCUCUGAGACCCGCAGGAGAUGCGGCACCCGUCUAAGAGCCGCGGAGGAUGUGAUGGUAACCCAGAAACAUUUUGGGGUCUCGUGUGGCACAAAGGGACUUCUCUGCUCCCUUCGCGUUCAGCCUCCCCGCCUCACUCAGUGCAGAUGAUGCUGCAGAAGGAAAGGGCAGGUCUGCUCAAGAUUAGAGCUCCGAGUUAAAGGCUGGGAAGAGCUGCUGUAGUUUUUAAUUAAUAUCACAAUUAAUUUACCCCCAAGAUCACGUGCCACUGUCAUGCAGGCCUCUAGCCACUCGGUGUCCUGGACGCAAGGAUGCUGACGGAGACCGACGUGCAUUUUCACCAACACACGCCAGCUGAUGCGGUAAGUCAGCGGGGGAAGAACAGCGGCCUCUAUCACCCUGCGAACAGGGCACCUGCCUCGAGGUUCUCCUAAGCUGGGGCACCCCUGCACCCUGGUACCUUCCUGCACGCUGUCCCAGCUGUUUGUGUGCCACGAGCUCCCAAGGACAGGGACCCCGCCACCUUAGCUUCUGUCUGGAGUAACUGUCUUGGCCCAGAACGGUCUAUGGGGCAACUGCUCCCAGCCAGCUUCCCAGUGAUGCCCUAGAAGGACCCAUGAGAUGGGCGUCACUAUAAUCCCAUUUUACAGCAGAGAGAACCAAGGCCCCCAAAGAGGAAAAAACCUGCCCAAGCCAAGCUGCGUGUUAUUAAGGAGGCCAGGACUGGCACCCCAGGCCUUAGCGAGAAACCCGAGGUGGGUAAACAUUUUCCGUAAAGGGCCCGAGAGUAAAUUCUUUAGGCUCUGUGACUUCCAUGGUCUCUGUCCUAACAAUUGACAGAGCCGCUGCGGUGUGACAACAGCCACAGGUCAUAGACAAAUGACUGUGGCUGUGUUCCAAUAAAACUUUAUUUACAAAGGCAGGUGGAGGACUCUAAAUAUGCUGGAUAGAGUUCCCGUUGUGGCUCAGUGGUUCACGAAUCUGACUAGGAACCAUGAGGUUGCGGGUUUGAUCCCUGGCCUCACUCAGUGGGUUAAGGAUCCAGCGUUGCUGUGAGCUGUGGUGUAGGUCACAGACGUGGCUCGGAUCCCGCGUUGCUGUGGCUCUGGUGUAGGCCAGCGGCUACGGUUCCGAUUUGACCCCUAGCCUGGGAAUCUCCACAUGCCGCGGGAGUGGCCCAAGAAAUGGCAAAAAGACAAAAAAAAAAAAAAAAAAAAAAAUUUAAAUAAAUAAAUAUGCUGGAUAGAUGGAUGGGAGAAAAUAAGUGGACAGUUUUCUCUCGUUACGUUCUUUCCAGGACGACGUUAGCACAGAGCAUCGAGAGGUGUCUGAGUGGGUGAGGAGGUGCGUGGAUGAGCUGCUCCUUAUCGUGGCCAUCAGUGCCGGGUCCUACGGAGACCGCCUGACAUGGGCUCCAGCAACGUCCCCUCUACCGAAUGGCCUCAGCUCUAACCCUAAAUUCUGCAGACUCAGGAGACCAGUUCUGCAGAAAUUUCUCAGAUGACAAAUUUGGGGAAAUCCUCCUGGGGCCCAUCCCAAAAUACAAGUAAACAACCCAGAAGCCAGAGCACGCGGGUCCUCCUCCCCCAGCCCCGCCCAUGUCCAAUGAGGACACGGGCGGCUGGUGAGGACCCAGCAGUGAGCUGCCAGGACCUGGGCGGGGUGACCCUCAUCUGAUUUUUGUCCCCAAGACAAUGGAAACGAGCCAGCGUGACUGAGGUCACAUUCAGGGGACCUGUGACAGUGUAAGGAGAGCUGAGGAUGGUGUGUUCCAUCAAUGCAGCCUUCUAGAGAACACUGGGAGAAGAGAAGACACGAGGGAAAGAGCAAGAAGGACCAGUGGUUUGGUUCAGCAAGGAAACAGGCUCAGAGCGUGCAGACACGCCCCAGGGUCACCCAGCUGGGACUGGCAGAACUGGGUCAGGACCACCACAUUUUCUGAGGAGGGGCUGCCUCUCGUGGGGCCCCCGUCAUCCUCCCUGAGGCCCCCGAGCUAGACCUCAGGUGCUGGUGGUGAGCGGAGGGUUCAGAGUCACGGCUCACCUCGCCCUAUGGCCCAAGGGAGCUCCCUGCAGUCCCAGCGUCCAUCCAACCUUCCCCAACCCACGCCCCCACACCCAGCUGGACCCAGCACCUCAUCUCUGAGACCAUGGAGGGGCCCCAGCAGAUGCCAACCGGGCAUCCCAUGUGGAAACUGUCUUUUACUAGCAUUUUUCAUUAAACAGAUUAACUCCGUGCCUGGAGUUCACCCCACUCUCCAUGACAAGUUAAUGGAGGAAAGGAGCUGGGUUUUUUUGCUUUUUGUUUUGGCUGCACCUGCGGCAUGCCGAAGGUCCCAGGCUAGGGAUCAAACCCACACCACAGCAGCCACCCGAGCCUCAUCAGUGAAAACACUGAAUCCUUAACCCACUGAGCCAUACGGGAACUCCUAGGCUACUUUUUACAAAGUCUGAGUUAAGUGAAGCAUCACUUCAUCUUCGCUGGAACACACCGAGGUGUGUUUUCCAUUUUACAUAUGAAUUGGCGAGACACUGAGAGGCAAGGUCCCCUAUAAAGGAGCAGCAGCGCCCAGGCUUGAACCCUGACCUGCCCACAUCUCUAAAAAACACUGUGGAGCCCUGUUAGGGGGUAGUAAUGCUGGCAGCAGUGAAGACCACGGAGCAGAGAACGCAGGAAGAGGGCAGAGAGGACCAAGGGGAAGGAAGAGGCCCUUUGGGACACAAAGCACAAAGUAUCCCUCCAUGUUCCUGGUCUGAAAACGCCCUGUCACUAGCCAGGCCAGCCCAGGGCCCGCUCGGGAUCUGCUGAAGCCCCCGAGGCCAUGGCCGCCAGCACAAUGAACAAGAGAACUAAGGGGGAAACUCUAAUUUGACACAAAAAUGGUGCACAAUGAAAAUGCCUGGCUGGUUGCUGGCCCCCGAAGACAUCCCCAGCGCAGGAGGGCAGCCGAUGACACCCUGCACGGGGACAGGCGGCAUGUGGGCACAGGCCUGGCCCACGCUCGGUGCGGGUCCGGUGUAGAGCUCCCCCUCUGUUGAUCAUCAUUUCUGGAAGAUGCUGCGCUGCGCUAAUUACAGAGAGAGGGCCGUGGCCAUAUUUGGUCAGAGCUGCAGGGCUGGCCUUUCAUGUGGACUCAGGAGGGCUGUGCUGUCCUUGCAGGGCCCCUGGGGGCCGCACCAAGGUCACGGCCAGCAGCUGCUUCUGCCCCGAACAUGUUUUCAGCCGCUGCCCUCUCUUCUAGGCUCUAAGACACAGGAUUUGGGGCUGUGAGCAGAUGCUGGACAAGGAACUUGGGAAGAUGAACAGGAAGAUCUUGUCCUGCAAAGAAAGAGAAAGGCGGCGUCUCUGCAGGCCUGGGGCGGCGGGGGAUGGGGGCGCGGCACCUGUCCGGGCAAGCGCAGCUCAGUUGCCACAAUGCAGAGAUUCUUCUCGCUCUUCUCUGGAAUUCCAGCACGCAGCUGUCACCCUCACCAGUGACAGAACUCAACCAGCAUGUACUGAGUGCCUACUGUGUACCAGCAGCAUCGCAAGGAUGACGAGGACACCAGUGGUGACCCAGCACUCCCGACGGCCCAGGGGAACAUAACCAAUAUCCAAGGCAGACAACCAGGCACAUUCAUUCAAAUUGUAUGCUUCUGAGCUCAAAGGAAAACCACCAUGUCAUCCGUAACGCACCUACCAGAAUGGCUUUAAAAAAAGAUACUGUCUACACUUCACACACAUCAGCA